AUAAUCCAGAAUGCGGUAACUUUUCACGCACAUCGUUGACUUAUGUGAUAAGGGACGAUGACAAUGCACUGCGAUUUACAUGUAAACUUGGACAGUCGACUUCCUAUUCAAAGAGUAUAAGCAUCUGCAUUGGAGCUGAACCCGAACAACUAAAGAUGUUAACAACCCCAGUCGGAAGAAGGGUGUAUGAUAUCAAUUCUACAGUGGAGAUGAAAUGUACGGGGCUGGUAGGCGUUCCCUUAAAGAAUUGGACAUGGCAGUGGCGAGAUGAUCCGUUGAAUAAAACGUGGCAGCCCUAUCGAUACCCAGAUAACAUUAGCAAUAUGUAUAACUCGUACAAGUUUGGUUGUGACUCGUUCACCUCUUCAACUUUGAAACAUACCAUGACAGAUAGAGGAAUAGAGUUCAAAUGUAUUUUAGGGAGUUCCGAGGCCUACAGUUUUACAAAUACUCUUUACCCUAAAGUGAUCUCGUCCGGUCAAUUACAAAUUCAAAAUCUACCAGACGCCGGAACCAAAACCCGAAAAUUGAAAUUGAGAUGUUCACCGCAAGUCGAUGCUGGUUAUGUAAGACUAAACUCAAUAUGGAUUAAACGUAAUACAUACCAGACCUGGAAAAUUGAUAAAUCUGGGCAUUCAUCAUUUUAUGAUCCCGGUGUUGCUGUCACGAGUUCUUUUGACCCUGCAGCACCACUGAAUUCGUAUCUAGCAAUUGAAUACAUCCCAUCCUGUGGCGGCCACCGCCAAUUUAGCUGUAGUACA